CUCGAGUCCAUGGAUGGAAUUGUAAAAGGCAGCCAACAAAUUUUGAGAAGAUGCAACUUGGGCUUCAAGAAGAGCAGAAAGUUUGUGAUGCUCUCAAAGAGAAGUAUACUGCUGCAGUAGGGGAGCAAAGACACUGCAAUUCUCUCUUAAAAGCUUUCCAGGAGGAAUGUGCGAGGAAUGAGAGGAUUCAGAGA